rnacentral:lncRNA from 1 species
UGUUUUUUUGUUUUUGUUUUUUUUUCUUAAAUCCUUGACAUAUGGAGGAGCAUUUGCCUUUUAGUUUGAUAAGUUUACCUAGUAAUACCAACUAAAGAGUGUUGAAUAAUUUGUCUAGACAUGAAUUUUAAGUUGAAAUCUUGCGAAGUUUCUAUAUAUAUUUUGGAACAUUUAAAAUGAUUUGAGAUUUGCUGUAUUUGUGAACCUAAUUUAUUGGAGGUGUAAUAAGUACUUCGGAGGGUUUGUUUUAGUCAGAUAAAUGAAAUACUUAAAGAUAUGAACUUUAAGCUCCUUUGUUUUAUAAACAAUAAGAUUUAUAAUCUGAACUUUUUAAAAGCUUAGACAAGAACUAGAAUUUUGAAUAUGUAAGUUUGAAAAUUGAGUGUAGCUCUAAAAAUCAAAGUAAUUUCUGGAUAAUUAUUUCUAUACACAAAAGGAUUCCUCACGGAUAUCAAAAACAGGUCUUUCAUUCAGAGAAACUCUACAUGUAGUGUUAUCACAAACCCAAGCCAGGGCUGGAACCCGCAACCUCAUGGUUCCUAGUCGGGUUUGUUAACUACUGCGCCAUGACGGGAACUCCUCAAAGAAUAUUUUAAACUUCAUAUCUUUCUAUUUAAUUCUGAAAACACAGACAUAUACAGAUAAAAGCAGAAAUGCUGUGACUGAAGCUUGCUCAUCUUCACUCCCACCCUUGUAUAGCAGCUUGAACGCUCCUGAACCCCUAGAGCUCCACAGAGCACAUUCUGAAAGUCUGAUACCUUCACUUACAGGUGAGGAAACUGAGGCCCAGAGAGAUGGAAAGACUUGCCUAGAGCCACAUAGCAGGAGCAAAAUCUCAGGAUUUCCCCAUAUUCCUCCCUGUUCUAGCAUCUAGGACUUAUUAACUUCUAGCCAAUCUGUCUCUCUAGUGUUCUUUUAGGUACGUUGUGUUUGUCAUUCACUCAUUUAGAUACUUAUUGAAUACCUACUAUGCUCUGGGUACUGCGUAGGCCCUCAGGACUAUUAGGUACCAGUCUUGGAAAUCAAUGGAAGCAAAAGUAGAACUUGUCUGCCCUUAGAGGGAUGUCAGUCUAGUAUUGGGGGCAGAACAGCUGUAUCUGUGAAAAGUGCCGUAAAGAAGAGAUCAAUGGUGUGAUAAGGUGGGCUUAUAAGUGGGGUCCUUUGGGGCUGUUAGAACAAACAAACAAACAAAACAUAGGCUGAGUGGCUUUUAAACAACAAAUUUCUCAUAGUUCCAGAGGCUGGGAAGUUCAAGAUCUAGCUUUGAGAGAUUUGGUGUCUGGUGAAGGCCCAUUUCCUCAUUCAUAGAUGACCAUCUUCUCACCUGGUCCUCUCAUAGCAGAAGGGGCAAGGGAGCUCACUUGAGUCCCUCUCAUACAGGCACUAAUUGCCUUGCAAAGGCCCCACCUCAAAAUACCAUCAUGUUAGGGAUUAGGUUUCAACAGAUGGGUUUGAGGGGAAUGCACACCUUCAGUCCAUAGCACGGGGGACUCAACUUAGGAAGUGACUUGCAACCAAGAGCUAAAGGCAAACUAGGAGAACCGAGGAGAGAAGGGUGUUCCUGGUGGAGGGAGUGGUGUACACAAAGCCCUGUGGCAGGAGGGAUCAAGGUGGGAUGAGAAACGAGAGGAUGAGAAGAGGCAGGUGUGGCUGGAACGCAGGCAGGGAAGCCUUGGCCUGGCAGCCUGCACAGACUGUUCAAGACAGGGCUGCACAGACUGUUGCCAAGUGCUGGGGCUUUAGUCUAGGUUUAUUCUUUAGAUUUGUGGGUUUUUCUUUUUUUUUUUUUUUUUUUUUUUUGGCUUUUUGCCUUUUCUAGGGCUGUUUCCUGUGGCAUAUGGAGGUUCCCAGGCUAGGGUUCUAAUUGGAGCUGUAGUCACCGGCCUACGCCAGGGCCACCAGCAACUCAGGAUCUUAGCCACAUCUGUGACCUACACCGCAACUCACGGCAGCGCCAGAUCCUUAACUCACUGAGCUAGGCCAGGGAUUGAACCCACAACCUCAUGGUUCUUAGUCGGAGCUGUUAACCACUGAGCCACGACGAGAACUCCCUAGAUUUUGUGUUUUGAAAAGCUGUCUCCAGUUGCAAAGGGUAACUGAAUGCCCCAUCCCAAACCCUGUCCCAGCUGGAUUCCUUUUAUUCCAUCUCCUCCUUCUGUCUGCUUUUCUGACAUCAGUCACAUGCUGCUUGGGGUGUUCUUAGCAGGGCUUGUUUCCACUUUUUAUGACAUUUUUUGGCUCUAAGGUAUAUGUGUACAUUGUCGUGUGUGAAUGUGCUGCUACUGUAUCAUUUGUUCAUUCAAUAAAUGUUAAGUUUUUAAGU